AGCUUUGCACAGUGGCAGUAUCGUAGCCAAUGAGACUCAUCUGAGGCGCGAUUAUUGCUAGUUGAAAACUUGCCCCCCCAAAAAAACCCUUUAGAAAACAAGCAAACAUUUCUUUGAAACCUACAACUUUAUCACCUUAGUCUUUUGUGGG
ensembl:snRNA predicted gene, 25131